GGGAGACGUAUGCGUCUCGUAAAAAAAAAAGACGGAUGCCAGUUCAAUGAUGAAGCUGCGAGUCUGCGAUGAAGACCGAGGUUUCGAAACAGCUUGCAUGCUGCCAAUCGAGCGACACAUGAGGGCAGCAUUCAACAACAUAAACACGCGACUGACUCUGGUCUGAGUGGCUGAAAACUUUCUUAUUUAUUAGUAUUACGUCAGUAUCAGUACUACAAGUUUGUUUUCAUUAAAGGUCUUGACCCACAUUUCCACCAGCACCUCUGACGUACCAUCGACUGGCGCUGCCAAAACAGAUCCUUAUCACUAUCUGACGCAACAGCAUUUCACCUCAGAGAUCUUCAAGAUUGAGAUCCAAAACCUCCCAAGAUAUUUUGGAUUUGCGCAACCGAAGAAGAUAUGGACUGGUCUGCAACUGAAACCCAAGAAAGUCAAGGCAGUCAACAAGGCAACCUAUGCUUUUGUGACAUUCAGCUCGCCAAGCCAGUUGAGGACCCGGACACUAAGAGCCUCGCUCUGAAGAGAAGCCAAGAGGAAUCUGAUGGAAACACCCAAGAAGCUAAGAGGAGGAAGGAGGAGGACAGCUGACCAGUAGAAGAGAGGUUAAACAACACGGUGACUCCACUGUGGAACCAGCCAUAUGAGGACCAGCUAUCCACCAAACAGACCAACACCAGGGAGUUUCUGAGGAAUUUAUCCAAGAUGCUGCAACAGAACAUUGGGAAGAUGUCUCCCUGGCUGAAGCAACAAAGGAAGAACCACAGUGGGAUGGCAUGUGAGUUGGAGCCAAUUAAGCCAUCGCCAGUAUUAGAGAGUUAUCGCAACAAGUGUGAGUUUACCAUCGGAAAGAGUGUCUAUGGCAUCGAUAACACUGUUGGUUUCCGGCUUGGCGCUUACAAAGGUAAGUAUUUCCUCUGAAGUUUCCUUUUUGCAAAAGACGUAGAUCAACUUUUAUGUUUGAUUGGAUCGGCUGUUGAGGGGCGU